GCCUCCGUUGUGUAAUUGGAUAACACACCACUUUGCGGAGGUGGCAAUCAGGGUUCGAAUCCCUGCGGAGGCA
rnacentral:tRNA from 1 species